rnacentral:rRNA from 1 species
UGAGAUUCAUCGUCAGCGGCGCAGGCUUCGCGGUGGCUCGCGAUGUCGGCGGACCUCGGUAAAACGGGGAUCCCGCACGGCACGCGGCCGUCGCGCAACGUCCGGCGACGUCGGCGUGCACUUCUCCCCUUGUAGAACGUCGCGACCCGUUGGGUGUCGGCCUAAGGCACGGGUGGGCGCCUGUCGCGUGUAGCCGUGAGGUGACACGCGGCAGACCCCCGUACGCCAGUUUUACGCCGACUGCCCGACGGUACACGCAUGGUAUCGAGCCGCAAGUUUUUAACUGCGUCGGACCCGCCGCAAGCGCGGCCAGUUUUAAUGCCGGGAGUCGCGGACCUAGCGCCGUCCCUGGUGCUGGCCAGCUGUUGGUUGGCGGUGUUCUCCGACUGGCCGAAACUUAAACACAGAAUACCGGUCGGCGACGCUACUGCUUUGGGUAAUCUCAGGACCCGUCUUGAAACACGGACCAAGGAGUCUAACAUGUACGCGAGUCAUUGGGACCGCAUACCUAAAGGCGAAAUGAAAGUAAAGAUCGAUCUUAGCGUCGAUCGAGGGAGGAUGGGUCGCGUCACGAUGCGACCCCGCACUCCCGGGGCGUCUCGUUCUCAUUGCGAGAAGAGGCGCACCCAGAGCGUACACGUUGGGACCCGAAAGAUGGUGAACUAUGCCUGGUCAGGACGAAGUCAGGGGAAACCCUGAUGGAGGUCCGUAGCGAUUCUGACGUGUCAAAUCGAUCGUCGGAACUGGGUAUAGGGGCGAAAGACUAAUCGAACC